rfam:Gossypium raimondii chromosome 10, whole genome shotgun sequence.
AUUCCGUGAUGAGGGAAUUUCUUUAAUAGCUCUUUAAAUCUUUCUCAUGACUCAUAGAGAUUCGUCAUCUAUUUGUUGGAAGGUCAUGAUUUCAUUCCGCAACU